CGUGUAGGCGGCCUGUUUAGUCGGAAGUGAAAGCCCUCGGCUCAACCGAGGAAUUGCUUUCGAAACUGGCAGGCUUGAGUGCGGGAGGGGAGAGCAGAAUUCCCGGUGUAGCGGUGAAAUGCGUAGAUAUCGGGAGGAAUACCGGUGGCGAAGGCGGCUCUCUGGACCGUUACUGACGCUGAGACGCGAAAGCGUGGGGAGCAAACA
rnacentral:rRNA from 1 species